GUUCAAAUCCCCUGUUAAAAAUCUUGGAAGCUUCAAAACUUGUACUAGUAGAGCUUGGGUGGUCCGAACCUCCUACUAGAGAGACCUUGCAUGAUCUAAACUUCCAAAUUUCUACUAGAGUCUGUCGCAUGGUCUACAUAUCCCAAUCAGAAAGUCCUCGGUCAGUCCUAAAUCUUCUAUAAUCGAACCUCUCAAGAACAACCCCUUCGUAUCCGAAAUGUCUGAAACAUAAGGCAUGAUUCGACCCCCCGAGGUGUUAACGUAGCCCCAAAAAUGGACGCUUUAAUCCCGCCCAACGCUGUCACGGCCCGGCAAACCUUUCUCCUUCUGAACCGGUUUUCCGUCUCUUCAUCUGUUUUCUUUCUGUCCGCUUAGGUUGCCUCCCGAUUCGCAGACACAGGCUGCGACGAUUCCUUCAGGACCACGCCGCGUCCUGCUCGAGCGGACCCCGCUCACGGUCCUGCGGCUGAGCACCUGUGCUCCGCGAAUCGGGACCCGGGGAUAACUCGCUGCGCUCUCGCGUCGAGCUAACUAACCAGCCUAAAUACGCACGUGGGAAACGACAAAAGCGAGAACGAUUAUCGAUGCAGGAAAUGUUUUCGUCGCUUCUGUGGUCGGCCUCUGUCGAGAAACAGUCUCGCCGAGUGCCGAGGGAGACGUGCGUGGCGCACGUACGUGCUCCUGGGGUUGUUUUCUCGCCUUUAUUUAACCUUCUGCGUGAUCCGCUUGCCGAUGCUUUACGAGCGACUCGUCCAACGACGCAUAGAAACGGUAGUUGCGGUUCCCGAGUCUCACUCGAGCUGUCCCUCUAACAGGUAAAGGAUACCGCAUCGCUGGGCCGAGUACACGAGAUGUAUAUCGACGCUGACAAGAGAUAAGAGACUCGCGCGUGACUACCGACCGCGUUACGGGAAAAGGACGAUAGAAGCUUGGUCCAGAGGAGAAGGAAAGAAUUCUCAAGAUCACAACCCCUUUGGUUCCCUUGUUCCUCUCCGUGCAUCGGUCCCUCGAGUUCUUCCUAUCCGACUCCUCGUCAUCGUCAUUGCGUUUGUCGUUUCCUUUCUGUUUCGUUUCAUCGCUGACGCCCCUCCCGACAACUACAAAAGUAUCUCUUUCGUCAUCACCGCACACACAACACACGUACACGUACACCGUACCACACGCUUCUCGACGAGUGUCAUCCGUUCUCCGUUCCAGGGAUUUACCGCAUUUUAUAUCGCUCACUUUUUCUCCGCAUUGCACCUCAUGUCCCCCUCGUUCGUUGGCUCAUCUCUUACCGCAAAACAUCUCUUUAUUCUGUGUCUUGUAUAUUAUUGCUGGCUGUUUCAGAAUCGUCCGCGGCACCGUCACCGGGACCGAGGUUGCGUUCACUGGAAGUCGGAGAGCGAUGAUCGUCCUUCGAAUCGGUUGUUCAUCGUUGCACUAGGAAUCGUUACACCGAGUUACUUUCUUGAUAUAGAAUAUGUUUCACCGGAGGCAAGUCUCAAUAGAGGCGAUGCUUUUAUUAUUUUUCAAUUGUAUUUUUCACGAUUGAGCAAGAUUUAGUCAGUGUUCUAUUAUAUUGGGUUGUCCGGAGAGUCCAUGUCGAUUUUUGGUAGGUGGUUACAGGUCUGAAUAUGUCGAGAUGGUUGAAAACGAAUGACAUGCAUACCUUAACGUACACCUCUUAAAAGGUGGAAAGGUUGUGGAACAAAAUGGCACCUAUGUAAUUCAAUAAAUACAUGUGUAUAUAUAUAUUAUAUUAUAUAUAUUAUAUGAAUUUUUGUGAGAAAUUGGCACGAACUUUCUGGACCACCCAAUAUAUAAUACGUAAUAAGGUUUUAGUCAGAGAAAUGUCAGGAAUACGAUGGUAAAAGUUUUAAAGUUUUGUGUGGUUUUGUAUGGAAAGCUUUUGUAUGGUACAUAUAGUAUUCUACAAAACUUUUAUAUGAUAUAUAGAGUCUUUUAGAAGUCUUUUAUAUGAUACAUGUAGUCUUCUAGAAGUCUUUUGUACGAUACAUGGUUCUUUUUAGAAGUCUUUUAUAUUAUACGUAGUCUUUUAGAAAUCUUUCAAGGGUAUCUGUUUGUUUAUUCCGAAGCAAAAAGAAAAGACACAUUUACUUACGUACUUCAAAUUGUUCAAAAUAAUUAGACACCGUCUUCUUUAUUAUGAUUAGUACAUAACAAACUAAACACUCUACUAGUCGUUUCUAUUCUUUCCAUACAUCUCAAAAUAUUUCUUUUAAUAGAAUCAAGACAAAUUUCUCUGAUAACAAAUUGAAUUUCGAAUUGAAAAUUAACGAAUCUGAAUAUACAAACUUGAGAGAAAUAACAAUAAAAAACGUGAGGAACAUCAUGGUCCCACUCAAACUAUGCAGCUUUAUAAGUAACGAUUCCUCGUGCAACGUAGAUUGGAAAUUAUUCAAGGCACAUAUGUGUUAGAUGCCUUAACCUCAAAUUCCUAUUUAAAAAUCUGAAACACCUUUGAUUUUUAAAACAACCAAACUUGGAGCAAAACGAGUCAGUAAAUAUACAUCAGAUUAUUCGAUUAAACAAUCAAAAGUUGCUCGCAGAAAAUAGUAUGCCCUCCGUUGAAUUAAAUAGUGACAAUCAGAUUAUCCGAUGCAUUAGCCAAUCAAAGUCAAUUUUUACAAUAUUUAGUAAACUUUCACGAUAAAUAGCAAUCAUGUUUUAGAUUGACUUGCUCUACCCAAGCAACAAUAACGUUGCAGUCUCUCCAAAAAGAGAAACCACUUUAUCUACCAGGCUAUUUAGAAACAGUCUUCAACUCUUUGCACUCGAGGCCUUUUUUCUGGUAUUCACCAGCAACUCGAGAUGUUUCUUGGCAUUGCCAUGAAUUCUAAGCUAUCUAGAUUUGAGAAUAAGCCCACCUUUACCUCACCGACAAUCAUUUUAUUGACACUCAGAGCUCCAAAGAAGUGAAACCUAAAGGAACAUUAGGUAUUAUAGAGUUGCUUUGUGAAACCUAACGGUGACU